AUUUAUAACUAGUUGAUCAGAAGCAUCUGUGACAACCUGGGGCUUAAGACUAGCAUUUGAAGUGGGGCAGUUGUGUGGAAUUGAGUCGUUAACUCGUGGGCUCUGAUUCUAAUUCCAGGUGGUGGUGGUUGUUCAGCUGCCAAGUCAUGUCCAACUCUUUGCGACCCCAUGGACUGCAGCACGCCAGGCCUCCCUGUCCCUCACUAUCUUCCGGAGUUUACCCAAGUUCAUGUCCACUGAAUUGGUUAUGCCAUCCAACCAUCUCAUCCUCUGUUGCCCUCUUCUCCUUCUGCCUUCAAUCUUGCCCAGCAUCAGGAUCUUUUCCAAUAAGUUAGAUAUUCACAUCAAGUGGCCAAAUUAUUGGAGCUUCAGCUUCAAUUCCAGGUAGAUUUUUACCACGGAGUCACCCAGGAAGCCCUGCUAUGGUGCUCAAUGAUUGCCAAGUCAGCACAUCGUAGGUACGAAUAGUGGAGUGGGCUGCCAUCUCCCCCUCCAAGGGAUCUUCCUGACUGGAGAAGCAACCCCACGCCCGAGGCCAGGGGUGGUGGCCGGGAGGACCAACCCCACGCCGUGGCUGCGUGGGCACAGGAAGGCCUAGAGGAGCUAUCCCAUGUUGAAGGUCAGGAAGGGCUGCAGUGAGGAGAUACCCCUCAUCCAAG
ensembl:lncRNA